rnacentral:lncRNA from 1 species
UGUUUUUGCUUGUUUUCCUUAAAAAGGAUUUGUAAAAAGACCACGGGGCGUGGCAUUUAAAUAUAAAAUUUAAAAUUUAAAUAUAAAAUAUAAAAUAUAAAUAUAAGAUUUGAAAUUUAAGAUUUAAAGUUUAAAAUUUAAAAUUAAAUCGGAAUUCAAAUUGAAAAUUUGAAUCUAAAAUCAAUAUAAAUAAUUAAAAUAUUAGCCUAAAAUUAGAAUCAUAUUUCAAAAAGUAAAUUUUAGGUGCUUCUAAUGUUGGGCCGUGAAAAUUAAAAAAGUUAAUUC